rnacentral:rRNA from 1 species
GCGUGAAUCUGCCGGGACCAUCCGGUAAGGCUAAAUACUCCCGAGAGACCGAUAGCGAACCAGUACCGUGAGGGAAAGGUGAAAAGCACUUCGAACAGAAGAGUGAAAUAGUUCCUGAAACCGUGCGCCUACAAGCGGUCGGAGCUCGUUAAUGAGUGACGGCGUGCCUUUUGCAUAAUGAACCUACGAGUUGCCUUUGCCGGCAAGGUUAAGUGUGACGACACACGUAUCCGAAGCGAAAGCGAGUCUGAACAGGGCGUAUAGUCGGCAGUGGCAGACGCGAAACCAAGUGAUCUACCCUUGGCCAGGUUGAAGGCUGGGUAACACCAGCUGGAGGACCGCACCAAUAAGCGUUGAAAAGCUUCUGGAUGAGCUGAGGGUAGGGGUGAAAGGCUAAUCAAACUUGGAGAUAGCUCGUACUCCCCGAAAUGCAUUUAGGUGCAGCCUUGACUUAUACUGGCAUGAGGUAGAGCGACUGAUAAGAUGCGAGGGCUUCACCGCCUAUCAAGUCUUGACAAACUCCGAAUGCGCAUCAGUUCUACCGCAGGAGUGAGGGCAUGGGUGCUAAGGUCCGUGCCCGAGAGGAGAAGAAUCCGGACCACCUGCUAAGGUCCCGAAAUGACAGCUAAGUUAAACUAACGAAGUCUGACUGCUAAGACAGCUAGGAUGUUGGCUUGGAAGCAGCCAUUCAUUUAAAGAGUGCGUAACAGCUCACUAGUCGAGGAGUCGGGCGUGGAUAAUAAUCGGGUAUCAAGUUGUCUACCGAAGCAGUGGGAUCAUUUAUAUGAUCGGUAGGGGAGCAUUCCAGUCAGCGUCGAAGGCGUACCGUGAGGUAUUCUGGAGCGUCUGGAAAAGCAAAUGUAGGUAUAAGUAACGAUAAAGGGGGCGGGAAACCCCCUCGCCGAAAGACUAAGGUUUCCUGAUCAACGCUAAUCGGAUCAGGGUCAGUCGGGUCCUAAGGCUCAGCCGAACGGCGAUGCCGAUGGCAGAAACGGUUAAUAUUCCGUUACUACCUUCAGGAGUGACGUGGAGACGCAGUAGUGACAGUGCCGCCAUCUGACGGAAUAGAUGGUUGAAGGGUGUAGGAGUCGAUCAUGGCAGGCAAAUCCACCAUGAGAUCCGAACCUGAUAGUAUGCCGCGUCCUUCGGGACAAGGCAAUAGUGCGCGUAAGCAUGCUGCCGAGAAAAUCCGCUAAACUUAAUCCUGCAGGUACCCGUACCGCAAACGGACACACGUAGUCGGGUUGAAUAUACUAAGGCGCUUGAGUGAUUCACGGUUAAGGAACUAGGCAAACUGACCCUGUAACUUCGGGAUAAAGGGUCCUCGCUUUACGGCGAGGCGCAGAGAAUAGGUCCAGGCAACUGUUUAACAAAAACACAGGGCUGUGCCAAAUCGAAAGAUUACGUAUACAGCCUGACACCUGCCCGGUGCUGGAAGGUUAAGAGGAGAUGUCAUCGCAAGAGAAGCAUUGAAUUGAAGCCCCAGUAAACGGCGGCCGUAACUAUAACGGUCCUAAGGUAGCGAAAUUCCUUGUCGGGUAAGUUCCGACCUGCACGAAUGGUGUAAUGAUCUGGACGCUGUCUCAACCGUGAGCUCAGUGAAAUUGUAGUAUCGGUGAAGAUGCCGAUUACCCGCGAUGGGACGAAAAGACCCCGUGAACCUUUACUAUAGCUUAUCAUUGAAUCUGGGCACGUGAUGUGUAGGAUAGGUCGGAGGCUUUGAAGCAGGUACGCCAGUAUUUGUGGAGCCGCUGUUGAAAUACGACCCUUUAUUUGUUUGGAUUCUAACCCGUGGAACGGGGACAUUGAUUGGUGGGUAGUUUGACUGGGGUGGUCGCCUCCAAAAGCGUAACGGAGGCUUCUAAAGGUGCCCUCCGGCCGAUUGGUAACCGGCCUUAGAGUGUAAUGGCAUAAGGGCGCUUGACUGGGAGACUAACAAGUCGAUCAGGUAGGAAACUAGAGCAUAGUGAUCCGGUGUUUCCGUAUGGAAGGGACAUCGCUCAAAGGAUAAAAGGUACUCCGGGGAUAACAGGCUGAUCCCUCCCA